rnacentral:sRNA from 1 species
CCUGAAAUAGUAAACGAAUUAGAAGAUGAAUUAGU